UGGGGGAAUUUUGGACAAUGGGCGAAAGCCUGAUCCGGCAAUGCCGCGUGUGUGAAGAAGGCCUUCGGGUUGUAAAGCACUUUUGUCCGGAAAGAAAUCCUUGGCUCUAAUACAGUCGGGGGGAUGACGGUACCCGGAGGAAUAAGCACCGGCUAACUACGUGCCAGCAGCCGCGGUAAUACGUAGGGUGCAAGCGUUAAUCGGAAUUACUGGGCGUAAAGCGUGCGCAGGCGGUUUGCUAAGACCGAUGUGAAAUCCCCGGGCUCAACCUGGGAACUGCAUUGGUGACUGGCAGGCUAGAGUAUGGCAGAGGGGGGUAGAAUUCCACGUGUGAGCAGUGAAAUGCGUAGAGAUGUGGAGGAAUACCGAUGGCGAAGGCAGCCCCCUGGGCCAAUACUGGACGCUCAUGCACGAAAGCGUGGGGGA
rnacentral:rRNA from 1 species